ACUAUCCAAUGUGAUUCAUGUGCUUAUAUGAUUACCUUGAAUGUGAUUUGGAACGCCUUCCUAAAUCUCAUUCAUACUCUGAUCAGAGAUUUUCAAUCAUAUCAUAGAGUAUUCUCCCCCAAAUGGUUUGAAGGUUAGAGAUCCCUUGUUGCGCAUUCAAUUCCCUCCAUGGCUAAGUGGCUUAACCCCAACGAUGCCGUGGACACCCGCGGAUGGGGUGACUUUGACAUAAUCAAAGAUCAAUGACUUAACCACAAGACAACUGUGAUGCCUCAGGUCAAAUGACUACUUUGCAUUAUCCCAACCAUGAGUUCUCAUGUGACAUGAAUAUGAGAACUCUUCGUUUAUCGUGUUCAGUGAACUCAUUCUCUAUUGAGCACCUACGUACUUGUCUUGAUGUCACACACACCAAUGACUCGAGACUAGUCACUCUCCUUGAGAGAAGACAUAGCACGUACUGAUCUUAACGGACUGUCAAUGCCGAAUUGGCAAUCCUAUGAUCAGGAACGUUUAGGAUGUGUCUACGAAAGAAUGGUCUCAUGAAUCUAACUUCUUUAGAUUGCAUUCUCCCAUAUUCCUUGGACUUAUCGUUUAAGCAUAUAACAUUUAUAUGAGACGGCUCAAACAAUAAUCUUUGCCCUUUAUAUUUAAACUACGUUAGUUUAACUUGUGAAAUGUCCGUAAAGUAUCAUCAUAUGAUUGGUUUUAGGGCACAUUUCCAACAAUCUCCCACUUGCACUAGAGUCAAUCAGCUUGGUCAUCAGUGAUGAUACCUCUUCUGUAGUCAUUUCAUAAAUGGCUGAG
rnacentral:lncRNA from 1 species